UGGGGAAUCUUGGACAAUGGGGGCAACCCUGAUCCAGCCAUGCCGCGUGAGUGAUGAAGGCCUUAGGGUCGUAAAGCUCUUUCGCCUGUGAAGAUAAUGACGGUAGCAGGUAAAGAAACCCCGGCUAACUCCGUGCCAGCAGCCGCGGUAAUACGGAGGGGGUUAGCGUUGUUCGGAAUUACUGGGCGUAAAGCGCACGUAGGCGGACCAGAAAGUUGGGGGUGAAAUCCCGGGGGCUCAACCCCGGAACUGCCUCCAAAACUAUUGGUCUAGAGUUCGAGAGAGGUGAGUGGAAUUCCAAGUGUAGAGGUGAAAUUCGUAGAUAUUUGGAGGAACACCAGUGGCGAAGGCGGCUCACUGGCUCGAUACUGACGCUGAGGUGCGAAAGUGUGGGGAGCAAAACAGGAUUAGAUACCCCUGGUAGUCCCACACCGUAAAACGAUGAAUGCCAGUCGUCGGGUAGCAUGCUAUUCGGUGACACACCUAACGGAUUAAGCAUUCCGGCCUGGGGAGUACGGUCGCAAGAUUAAAA
rnacentral:rRNA from 1 species